UUCCAGUUGUUUGAUUCUCCAAAUUAAAACGUACCUAAUUAAAUUUGAUCCGAAGUGUUCUUUAAAACUCUUAGUUUACGGAUGCCAUCAUGAUAUUAGUGGAUGAACGACAGACAGAGAAUGGAUUAUCUUGGACCAAACUGCAUAGUACCUUCUUUCACCGGUGUUCCGACGAAAGGAGGACGUCACUGCUAUAGGUUUUGGAUUCUCCCCUCAAAGCUGGCUCCUUUUAGCAUGCUAGCCGUUAUGAUCAUCUCCUGAGGCUGCGGCUGGUCUGUUGCAGCUGCCAAGCGAUCCGACCCAGCAUUCCACACUAAAUGUUGCAUACCUUGAAUGAGAGCCGCUGGAUUUUGAGUAGCAGAUUACGGCAACCGAUGCAACUCGGUAAAAUACCAUUGGGUAGCAGCAUAAGGUCCUUACUAUUUGUUCCCAUAAUUGACGGAAAUUAGGUAACACAUCAUAAAUGAAUAAAUGAAGGAUCCUCAGAUGGUCCUGUAGCUCCAUUGCUAGCAUGUGGUUCUGUCCUGUUAUCGAUCGGUAUCAUCAAAUUGCGUGAAUUGCAAGAUCGUUGCCAUCAUUCCAAUGUUCACUGAAGUGAUAACACCAUCGACAUUUGAUCCGUCGUUAACCAAUAAUAAUCCAAGGAAUAACCUAAUUUAUGACUGACAACACUAUCAGCUUCGUGGAUUAUUAUGCAACAAACAACAAGUACGCAGACUCAGCAUCAGGAUAUACUUCAUAGUUUGUAGCGAUACGAUUGAGUCCGCAACUGUUAAGUUAUAACGUUUUGUAGUUCUAAUGGAUCGUUUGGUAGAUGUAAUGGAUCGUUGGUUUAAUAGAAUCUUGCCUACGUCCUCGCUGGAUCUCACUAUGCACGCCAUAUUAUACGAGUGUCCAUCAAG